rnacentral:misc_RNA from 1 species
UCUGAUUACUCUUUUCUCUUAACCAAGCAAAUAUAUCAGGAUUGUUUCUGAUGGUGAUCUGGAUGCUUAUAAAAAUAAUCAAAAUUUGCAUGUUUAAAUAAAAAGUUAUGGUUUUUGGAUCAAUGUGGGUAAUAAUUUUGUUAUUAUUUGAUUCUACUAAGUUUACAGAAACAAUGUAGGCAUUUAUUGUCACAAGCAACCUCUGCAUUUUCUGGUUUCUAUAUGAAAGUGUGAAGAUUUGUUAGAUUUUGAUGUUUUGGUAAAUUUUCCGGUAUACUUCCUUGCCAGUAAAG